AUAUCAGAUUUCCUCUAAGGGUGAGGCAUCUAAAUAGCACCCUGCUUUUUACAUAACUAGGACUCUGGGAGUGGCUUUCUUCUGUAGUCUUUGAUACUGGCGUACUGGCUUCCCUGAGCUGCCCUCUAAUUUGUAGUGAUUCUGGUGAGAAGAGAUUAAGGUCUGUCAUGCCAGAGAUUUGCAUGAGCACUUCUUCAUUCCAUAUGCAACACUUUGGUUUAACUUUUGAUGGGAAAGUAGAGCUCAGAGUGUCUGACCUAUUUAUCCCUUUUCUGUUCCUUUUUUUGAGAUAAAAUUGUCAUAUAGAUGAAUUGCACACAACAGAGUAUGUGUGUUUGGUUUCUGUGUCACUUUAAGUAAAUCAAAGAGAAAAAUCUUUUGUAAUCAGCUAGCCUUUAAUUUAAUAACACGUUUGAAAAAUUGAUGGUAUACAAUAGGUUAUCAAACCCAAACAUUAAAGAUUUCAGUUUGACAUGGCUGGAAUGAAUCAUACAGACACAAAAGGCCAAAUUUGCAAUUCUUUAUCUGGAGUAAAGAAAAAAAAAAUCAUUUCAGUUUCAAGACCUGCACUAAUGAAGGAAUAAAGAAUUUAAAAUCUGGCCUAAGGAAGUUAAAGAUAUGCUUGAAACAUAAGUGUUCAUUACAACAGCAUUUGCAAUUCCUUUACCAGAGAGUUUUAGCACACUGUGGAUCAUUGUUUAUAGUUUAUUGUAUGCUACCAUUAAGAAAUACCUCCAUAUACUUUUCCUAAUUUAUGCCCUUUUCUUGUAACUUUUCAGCUUCCCACAUACACAACCCCCAUGCUGGAUCUGCUACACUCCAAAACAUGUGAGUGACAACAGGCUUGACAGCCCUUGGGGUGGUGAAAGAUCUGGUGAGAGCGAGCCUCCCCAUCAUGCUCAUCAGCCUUAAGCAAUCAUGUCUGUGAUCAUGCUACUGAAAUACAGAGGUCCUGAAAGACCAGCAAACCGAGAGAGGACGGAGAAGUCGGAGCCUUGGCUAUGUGUCUAGCUCUGGAAUCCUAUUCAGAAUACUUGCUGAAUCAAGAUUACAUCAACUUCCAGAUUGUGUUCCCUUUAUGACUGGCCAGCUCUACAAUUUCUAAAAAUGGUUUGUACAAGUGUCUGAGAUGUUUUGACCUACUUUGACACAGAGAAUUAUGAUUAUACCAUGGGGAGCUUGGAGAGAGUGAAUGAAGCAGUGGUGGUGCUUCCAGCAACGCUGUGCUAGAGAAAGGCAGGACCAUGAUGGAUCUUGUCCCCAGAGGUAAUGUGACUUGAAGGCACCACCUGAGCCUUGCAGCAUAACCCAUGGCUGAAGGGUGAAGGAAACUCAGCCAUUUCCUGCAUAGCAGAGAUGGAUCUACUUUUGUACAUAUCAGAGGGGUGGCAUAAUGGAACUCCUGGCCCACAGGGUGCUGAACCACAGAAGGAUUUGGGCUGGUAGGGCCCUCCAGAGAUCUCUCUAGUCCAUAUGCUAUUGAGGUGAGUAAGACUAACUUAGAAGUUAGACCUGAAUCUUCUGUGUCUUAGCGAGUUUUGUAUAUAUUCAGGGUUGAAGAGACUACAGCAUUCUGGACAUGCUUCUUGUGAUUUUUUUUUUUUUUCCCUCACUUGUUCAAAAUUUCCUUUGUUUCAAUACACAGUUUGAAGAAAGAAAUGUCUGUCUCAGCCUCUCCUACAAUCCCCCUCUAUGUAGUUGAAUAGUUCAUUGAGAUCCCCCUUAAUGAGGCAAGCUUCACUCAUUCACACUCUCCUUAUGGAUCAUAAAGCCAUAUCCCUGCUGGGCUGGAACCAGUGGGUCAAUAUGUAUUACAUAUUGGGGAACCCAAACCCUUGGCUUUAUGCAGGACACUGCUGAGUGUUCUUACUUGUCCUUUUCUCUUUGUCGCACUGCAUCUACCCCUGCUCAGGCAUGACCAUGACUUAACCAGAAGCCUCUGAGCAAAAUCUACCCUGCUUCACAUUUUGCCUGCCGCCUCUGCAGGUUCUUCAAGUGGUCCUUUAUAAAUAAAAGGGAGUUAUUCUCCUUCAGCCUCUACCAUGUCUGAGACCUCAGAAUCUUUCUCAGAGCCCAUGCUGCUGCAGCACAAGGGGUGAUCACUGCAGGCUGUUCCCAGGAUUGUGCUCCUUAGCACAUCUUCAUCUGUUUCCUUGGGCAGGCACCCUGCAUCCCGCACCACUGGACUCAAUGGACAACCUCACCUUAUCAUCUGUAUUGUUCUCCAUGGGGUUGUGGAGAUAAAGUCAAAUAAAAUCUAUUCUUUAUUUUUAGAUCCUCCUGCACCCAGGAACAAAUAAUGAACUAGGUAAUAGGUAAUUAUCUAGGUAAUUAUCUAGUUGCAUUUUUUUAUGUCUGACUGAAUAGUGUCUCACAUUGAAGGAAUAACAAAUGUUCCCAAUGACUUCGGUGGAGUGGGACUUAUCCCUGUUGUUUAUGAAGACUCCCUUUGCUGGUGAGUAUCUGGGACCUGAAAUACCUGGUAGCUUCUGACAGAAAAAGCAGAAGUUUAUCCUUAUUCAAAUAUUUAUGAAAUAAAUAUAACAAAACUAGAUCAAACAUUAAACUCCCUCCACCCUGCCCCAAGGAAAUGCGCCUUUAGUAACUGAAUAACAAUCAGAAUACAUACAAGACUUAUUCUGCUAAAUAUAAACGGUAAAUUUGUUAGGUUGGCUAUUGAACAUCACUUUAAUAGCAUUGAUUACUAAAGAAAUUUCCAUUUCACUAUCAUUUAAUAUUCAUAGCUCUUACAUACUUCUUUUAAUUGUUCUGGAAUAUAAUGAACCAAGUUAAAUUAAGUUGCUCUGUAAUCAAUAAUAUGUUACUCUGCCACACGAAGUUCAAGAAGUGUUCAUGAAAUAGGGAGCACAAAAUGAUUGUAAAUACAUUUGGAAGAGACAAGACAAAAGUUACUUUACAAAACACAGGAAGGACUACUUGAAGUCUUUUCUUAAUACCUUUCUUUUAUAGAACAUAAAGGAUUUUGUUAAUAUAUUCUUUUGAAAAUAAAAGACAAAAUGGCAUAAAUCACACUAUAGCUGUUCACUUGUGUUCAUGGGAAAAUUUGUACAAAUGUGCCUUAGUAUGAUUCAAAUAAAGAUUAGAUUCACAUUAGUAAGAAUGUAAAAGUAGGUAGAUAUCUGAAGUUUUUCUAGCUCAGAAGGCAUCUACAAAGGCUAUUUAUUAACUGAUUUGGUAAUUAACCAAGCUUACCCAAGAUCAGAAAAGACAUCACAACUAUUGUGAUGAAUUUUCUAAACUAUUAGUCCUUAUAUACUGUAUCAUUCUUUAAAUAUCACCCCUGCUUGAACAAAUGGUGUUGCACUGAUCUUUUCAAAUAAUGACAAUACUUUGUGAGACUUUUUUGUUGCUGACCUAAAUAAACAGGUUAUGAUGUCUGUGGACACUCCCCUUUUAGAAAAAAAGGUAAGAGAUCAGCUUGUGGGUUUAUCUAGUGGUAUGCAUAUAUCAGCUACUUGUUCUUCCUUCAGUCAUAGCAAUCAUCUGUGGUAGCUUCAGUCAGCUUAAAAGCCAAAAUUUCCUUUCUAUGGAAAACAUGCAGGAACAGAAGUGAUCUCAGAGCUGAUCUCAUCCCAGGAUCAGGCGGGGACAUGAUUAAGGAAUGAUUUAGGACUCAAACCCUGGAGCUGAGGAACGCUCCUGGGUCCUGUAGAUAAACACUGUCUUGCCUAAAGCUGUAUAAGGCAAAUGUUUGUCUGAGAUUACAAUCAUAGACCUGCAAAUUUAAAGUUUUCAGGUGAGUGUAUUAAUAUUGCAAAAGUACCUUGUUCCCUUUUACACAUUUUUUUUUAUCAUCAGUAUAAUCUGGCUUGCUAGAACCUGGCCUUGCAGACCGCUGUGUUCAUGCAUGACCAGGUUACAGCUAAUCUUUAAAGAAUUUAACAGUCAUCUUUUCUAUGCCAGUGACUGCACCAAAUUGAAAUAUAUUAAUAAUUUACAAUUAUAGUUCAGACUAUUUGUUGUAAAACCCGCAGAAAACAACCAGAAAAAUAAGCAUAAUGAAAACCCUACAGAUUAUAAUAUCAGGAAAGCAUUUUAUGUCUUGUAUAAAUACAGGGUAACUCAAAGAGCAAAAAAGUUACAUUUUUUUGAAAUAAAUGGUAGCCGAUAAAGCAAUCUACCUACCAAGUCACUGAGUAUCUAUCCAAUUUCCACGUUUCCUCUUGAUGCCUUGCAGCCUGUGGGACAAGAGGUGUUUGAAUGACAAAUGCUUCAUAACUGGAUGCUAGUUUCUGGGAGACCUUGGUAAACUGAAUACUGUUUCAAAAAGCAAAAUUCCAGUUAACCUGUAUCUGGAACAUUCUAGUUUUGGCAAGUGUGUAUGUGUUUCUGUUUUCAGCAAUCCUACGACAUAGUUAGAAUGUUUUAAUGUAUGAUUUUGGUACAGUCAGUUUCUUAGGAAACCUGUUUGAAACCAGUGAACCUUUGAGGGAUGUUAAUCAAUAGAAAUGAAUACAUUGAUAAGGAAAAAAGAUUUAAUUCUACCAAAUACUUGUUCAGAUUAGCCAAUGCAAGGAAUCUGGAUCUGACCAAAGAAUUUUCAUUUUUAUUUAUGAUUGUGUUUUUUUUAAGCUUUCUAUUCUGUUCUAUUUCUAUUUCUAUUUCUAUUUCACUGUCUGAAUCAGCUUUUGCUAACCAUUUUCCAUGAUAGCUUAAGUGCCAACAAUGGAACAAAGAAAACAGUGCAAGAUUAUAUGAAUUUCUUAAGAUAAAUGGUUUGCUUAAGAGUAAUAUUAAUUAGGUGCAUCUCUACAGAAGAUAUUGAUUUUAUUAAAAAUAAACAUUAUUGGAACAGUUUUAACAUUUAUUGUCAUCAUAAAAAAGUUCUCUCAUGAAAACUGUUUGGAAUUUCAAGCUUGACUGAACUUGAAAAAUGCAGAGCAAAAUUUUGCCAGAUUUCAUCUGACUCCUUCUCUGGCAUAUAAAACUUGGAUGAGGUUUUGAUACUUCUGGAGCAGAUUGAGAAAAUAGGUCCAAGCUUCAGAUGUGUGAGAAAACCCUCUUGUGUUCUUUUUCAAGGAUUUUCUUUCCCUAUCUUUCACUGACUUUAUAUGACCUUCAACAACACAAAUCACUUAAAAAUAUUGUGUCCUGAAUUUUUCCUAAAUAUAGGAAUUAUGUACUACAUUAGUAGGGAUGUUAUGGCCUAAAUUUAUUUAUUUUUUUAAGCUUAUUUUAAAAACAAAGCAGUAAAUGACCGUACAACUUUACAAUUGUGACAAUUUCACCAUGAGAAAUUGAGGUAGAACUGUAUCUCUUCAGAUAUGCUUUCCCAUUUUAAAGUCAGUUUACAUGAACCAAACUUAUGCCCCCUUAAUAUUCUUCAUAUAAACCCACCACAAUUCUCUAAGCGCUCAUUUUGCUCACAAACCUAUUCAGUUUGUGUGAAUAGGUUUAGCUGGCUGGACUGUUUGUGAAAACUGCAUUUAACAUUCAUGCAAGAUGAGCACUCACUUCUGGCAGUGUUAUCACAGACAGCCAAUCAGAGAUUGGUAGCAAUUUUGUGCAAAUUAAUUGACCAGUCACAUCUAACAGUUUAAAUAACAAAUACAACAUGGGACAGAUUUUGACAUGUUUGAAUAGUUCUUUUGUUCAUUACACUCAGGCUCCCACAGAAAGCCAGUAUUCAGGGUGAGCAAGACUACUGACUGAUGGCUAAUCUGCAUUUGCUACAAGACUAGAGUCUCAUGACCAAGCUGUAAAAAUUAAGGAAUAAUAAUUAAUUGGAUAAUUUAAAGUAGAUAUCUAAUAAAAACAUUAGUAAUGGUAAGAAGUCUCUCAUGAGCAGGAAAAAUUAGAUCAUUGCAGAAUGAUUCACUGUGGAUUAUUCACACAGCUGUAGAAAUUAUUCAGACUGACAGAUUGAUGAGUAGAACAUGCCCAUAAAGACGGGAUAUUUCUCACUCUUUGUUAUCAUUUCUUUGCUACACAUUCUACAGCUUUGACUGUGAUUCUACAAGUUCAUACAAAGCAAGGAAAGCUACCAAACAGGAUAAUCUCUGAUUUUACUACCAGCACAAAAUUAAAGGAUAGAACCCAACAGGAGCAAUUGGAUGAAGAAAGAAAUGGAAAUUACAUUCUUAAUUAACAAUGGAGUUAUCAACUAAAAUGCAUAUUAUGCCCUCUUGGGCUUAAGUUUGUAAGAGAUGUGCAGAAAAUGUUGGAGUUAGCUGACUGAUUUUGAAUAUAGUCAAGUAAAAUUAUUUUUAGUAAUAAACAAACUAACAGUCAUAGGAAAAGAGUAACCUUUUUUUUUUUUUUUCUUUGCAAUCCAAAGCAAACUUCCAAUUGUUAAAUUACUGUGAUGAAAUAUGUUGUGAAACUUCACUGACAAGGGCAUAAUAUUUUUCCAAAAUAAUAUGUUUUUAAACUGACAUCUUCCUUUUUCUUCAAGUAACAAUAGUAUUUAUGUAGUUUUGAAUAGAUUUUUCCUGUUGAAGUCACAAUAAUAUUGAACUUGAUCAAGUUUAACCUGAUGAAUUUAUGAAUUCAUGCUUUUAAUUUAUAGCAUGAAGAACUUUAGCUAAAGGUAGCUUCUAUAUUGGCAAUUUUACAGCUUAGUUACUAUAAAAAAUUUACAAUAAAUGGAACUUAGUCUUUGGAAAGAUAGAAAAUGAGUCUGUCAUCUUACUUGAAUAUGGAGCUGCUAUUUUAAAUACUACAGCUGGUAUACUUUGAUUAAACAAUGCCUAUUAAAUGGAUUACUUUAAAUGGAAAUUUUGUAGUGCUUGAAUUUGGAUAGGAGAAGCUAAAUUUGUAGACAUAUCUGCACUAUUUCAGCUGCACAGUGCAAUGAAGUUUUAAUCAAAGAAAUGUCAUAAAAUGUUUGACCUUUUGGAUUUUAUUUGUACUAUUCUGAAGCCAUCCCAGAAAGAUUAUAUAUUAAACAUGAAAUAAGAAAGUAUUUUGCCUUUAUUUUUUAUGUGCUAUGGUGUUCUAUGUACCUUUUACUGAAAUAUUAAAAAAAAAAAAAAAAAAAGAAAAGGAAAAAGGUCUAGUCUCAUUCAUCAAAAAUCUCUUAUGGUAUGUUCUGAACCCUGCUCUAGCCUUUGGGGUUGAUUAUUGACUAGGAUGAUUCUGCUUAUAUAGAGCUCCUAAAAAGUGUUACUUCUUUUACUGUUAAAAAUGCAAGAAUGAGUCUUACAUAAAAUAUCUUGUGGUUUCUUACCACCAAUCUAAGAAUCUUUGGGCCUUGAAAUAUAGUUUGUUUAGCAGAUAAUCAAAAGCAUAAAUGUCAGAUGAUACUUUUCUCUGAGAAAUAUAGGAGGCCAACAACACUUCAUUUACAAUUUAAGUGCUCAGCUCUAACAGUUAUUUACAAAUCUUGUUUAAUUGUUCAGGCAUCUUGAGAUGCAUAGAUAUUUUGUUCAUAAAGUCGCCAUCCCUGCACAGUCUAAUCCAGCAAGCAUUUACACAUAUGAUAAGUUCAUUCAAAAAUUGCUGUCUGUAAGUAGGCCAAGAUCUCUUUGAUAAUGCAAUUGCAACAGCAGAGGUUAUAUGGGAAGUACUAAACUUGGGUUGCCUUCACAAUUAAAAAGCUGAACAUGUUUUCCACUUCAGUCACUGCAUUUUCUUCCAGAGCAGUUUUCAAAAGGGUUUUCUGAACACGCUUCCCAAUUCCCUUGUCAAGCUAGCUCAUUUCAUGGCAAAGAAUACAGCAUUCACAGGGCAAGAAGAAAAAAAAAAAAGAAAAGAAGGAGAAAAAUUACCUUGACUUUAUAUUAGAAUGAAAAGGGACUGCUUCUUGAUUUUUCAGUACAAUGGUAUCCAUAAACAUGACUUUGCAUCAGAAUGAGAACCCAGAGUAAUUUUCUCUAUGGAUUCUUUCAAGAAUAUAAUUUGAAUUCCCUGGAAAAUUCAGUGGUAAAUGAGGUUAAAACUUUGAAGUCUUCUGGAAAAUGAAUACUUAGUCCUGAGAAAAAGAGGAAUUCACUUCCCUUGCAGUGCUUAGGAAAGCAGCAUACACACUGAAUAAUGUAACAGGCGGAGUGGGUGGGUGUGCAUGUGCAGGCAGAACAUCUCACUGCCACUGUUGCUUCACAAUGAAAAUUCAUUCCCAGACAUGUCUUUUCCACACAAUCAUUUUAACACAUUCUUCCUAACCUGAGCAUGUUGGGCACAAAGGAGCUUCAUGCAUCAUGCUGUUUAUCCUUGACCUUUCCUGCUGAGUUCAGGGAGGUACACAUCUUCUAUUUUAUCUUGGAAAAUACUAAUUAAAAGAGAAGGGAGAGAUUUAAACGUGUGAAAUUUUAAUAGACUUUCCCAGUGUAGCAAUUGUACAUUAUGUCAUCUUGGAUAAAUUUUGACUGAAUUAGCUUUUGCAGAAUGCCCACCAGACCUGCUUUCACAGGCUGUUUUGCCAUAUGCACUAUUAAAACAUCCCCAUUAGCUAUGCCUAGGGUUUAAUCUUUUGCAACUGAUUACAAAUUGUCCAUAAUUCACAGCCCAAAAUAGAAUCACAGGAAUUAAUUUUUAAACGUUAGACUUGCAAAUUCAUUAUACCAGAAACAAAAGGAUAUAUCUACUUAUAUUAUUUUUAACCUGGAAAGGAUGAAGAUUAUAUUGGUCACAGAUGUUGAUGAUAAAGAUAAGAUACUAAUAAAGUAUUAGUCAAAGUCCAAUUAUUAGACCCAUGGAUGUUAGGGAAGUUUUAGUAUGUUAAUAUUGCAAGUCUGACAGAAGUUCUAGUAUUUCUCUUGAAGUCUGGUUGGAAGAAUCCCACUGUAUGUGAGUCACUGCCCUCUCACUUUGGUAAAGCGAUACAUACUCAAAAAAUAAACAAGAAUUGACAGAAAUUAUGCUCUGUAAACCUAAAUCGCUUCUUUUAAACAUCUUGAAGGGAGAAGGUUUUUUUCUUUUCCUAUGACUCCCUUAAUAAUGGUCAUCCUCAUUUUUGUCUUUUAGGAAGGAAAAAAAAAAAGGCAAGGGAGAAUAAAGAAGGCACUGCCUGAAAGCUGGAGCUUCAAAUCUUCCUCUAUGACUGUCAUCUCCCUGUUCAGACAAGAUGUGCAUGCAGCCCUGCACUCUAGUUCCUCCUCAGUAGUCCUUGCCUAGUUUAUCUAUGGUUCCUGUAUCAAGGAAGACAGAGGGUGAUAAAUGGUCACCUAGAGCUAACUAAUGGUCAGCUGUAAAUCAGUUAGAUAAUGCUGAAGGAAAUGGAGGAAAUGGCAUUUUCUGAUGACAGCUCUAGUACCUACCCUGUGGAGCUGUAUGAGGGCCACUGCUUUUGCUUUAAAACUGAGAAUCAGAGUGUAUGAGCUAAAGCCAAACCCCACAGUUGGAGUGCUUUUAAGACCUGGAACAAGUUAAGAUGUAUGUUUUCUAAUUUAUGAAAGAGGCAAAGAAUGACAGACAAAGAAAGGCCAGGAUAAAGAGAGGAUACAGAGAGGAUAAAGAGAAACUGCCUAUAUGUAAUUAUGAUGUAAGUAUGUAGUUACAAACUGAGAGGUUUUUCAGACAUUAUGUGAUAUUUGCCAUUCCCACAAAAGAAGAAAAGAUAGCACUUUAACAAUGUUUAGAGAAGCUGAGAUAUUUUGCAUUAAAUAGAAAUUCUUGCUGUACACCCCUUUAUUUAAUAUCUCUAAUAAACCACUUUCAACAA